rnacentral:rRNA from 1 species
GGUUAAGCGACUAAGCGUACACGGUGGAUGCCCUGGCAGUCAGAGGCGAUGAAGGACGUGCUAAUCUGCGAAAAGCGUCGGUAAGGUGAUAUGAACCGUUAUAGCCGGCGAUGUCCGAAUGGGGAAACCCAGUGCAAUUCGUUGCACUAUCGUUAACUGAAUACAUAGGUUAACGAGGCGAACCGGGGGAACUGAAACAUCUAAGUACCCCGAGGAAAAGAAAUCAACCGAGAUUCCCCCAGUAGCGGCGAGCGAACGGGGAGCAGCCCGGAGUCUGAAUCAGCUUGUGUGUUAGUGGAAGCGUCUGGAAAGUCGCAGGGUACAGGGUGAUACUCCCGUACACUAAAACGCACAGGUUGUGAACUCGAAGAGUAGGGCGGGACACGUGGUAUCCUGUCUGAAUAUGGGGGGACCAUCCUCCAAGGCUAAAUACUCCUGACUGACCGAUAGUGAACCAGUACCGUGAGGGAAAGGCGAAAAGAACCCCGGCGAGGGGAGUGAAAAAGAACCUGAAACCGUGUACGUACAAGCAGUAGGAGCCCACUAGUUGGGUGACUGCGUACCUUUUGUAUAAUGGGUCAGCGACUUAUAUUCUGUAGCAAGGUUAACCGUAUAGGGGAGCCGCAGGGAAACCGAGUCUUAACUGGGCGUUAAGUUGCAGGGUAUAGACCCGAAACCCGGUGAUCUAGCCAUGGGCAGGUUGAAGGUUGGGUAACACUAACUGGAGGACCGAACCGACUAAUGUUGAAAAAUUAGCGGAUGACUUGUGGCUGGGGGUGAAAGGCCAAUCAAACCGGGAGAUAGCUGGUUCUCCCCGAAAGCUAUUUAGGUAGCGCCUCGUGAAUUCAUCUUCGGGGGUAGAGCACUGUUUCGGCUAGGGGGUCAUCCCGACUUACCAACCCGAUGCAAACUACGAAUACCGAAGAAUGUUAUCACGGGAGACACACGGCGGGUGCUAACGUCCGUCGUGAAGAGGGAAACAACCCAGACCGCCAGCUAAGGUCCCAAAGUCAUGGUUAAGUGGGAAACGAUGUGGGAAGGCCCAGACAGCCAGGAUGUUGGCUUAGAAGCAGCCAUCAUUUAAAGAAAGCGUAAUAGCUCACUGGUCGAGUCGGCCUGCGCGGAAGAUGUAACGGGGCUAAACCAUGCACCGAAGCUGCGGCAGCGACACUAUGUGUUGUUGGGUAGGGGAGCGUUCUGUAAGCCGUUGAAGGUGGCCUGUGAGGGUUGCUGGAGGUAUCAGAAGUGCGAAUGCUGACAUAAGUAACGAUAAUGCGGGUGAAAAACCCGCACGCCGGAAGACCAAGGGUUCCUGUCCAACGUUAAUCGGGGCAGGGUGAGUCGACCCCUAAGGCGAGGCCGAAAGGCGUAGUCGAUGGGAAACAGGUUAAUAUUCCUGUACUCGGUGUUACUGCGAAGGGGGGACGGAGAAGGCUAUGUUGGCCGGGCGACGGUUGUCCCGGUUUAAGCAUGUAGGCGGAUGUUCCAGGUAAAUCCGGAACGUCACUAACGCUGAGGUGUGAUGACGAGGCACUACGGUGCUGAAGUGACAAAUGCCCUGCUUCCAGGAAAAGCCUCUAAGCAUCAGGUAACAUCAAAUCGUACCCCAAACCGACACAGGUGGUCAGGUAGAGAAUACCAAGGCGCUUGAGAGAACUCGGGUGAAGGAACUAGGCAAAAUGGUGCCGUAACUUCGGGAGAAGGCACGCUGAUGGUAGGUGAAGCGACUUGCUCGUGGAGCUGAAAUCAGUCGAAGAUACCAGCUGGCUGCAACUGUUUAUUAAAAACACAGCACUGUGCAAACACGAAAGUGGACGUAUACGGUGUGACGCCUGCCCGGUGCCGGAAGGUUAAUUGAUGGGGUUAUCCGUAAGGAGAAGCUCUUGAUCGAAGCCCCGGUAAACGGCGGCCGUAACUAUAACGGUCCUAAGGUAGCGAAAUUCCUUGUCGGGUAAGUUCCGACCUGCACGAAUGGCGUAAUGAUGGCCAGGCUGUCUCCACCCGAGACUCAGUGAAAUUGAACUCGCUGUGAAGAUGCAGUGUACCCGCGGCAAGACGGAAAGACCCCGUGAACCUUUACUAUAGCUUGACACUGAACACUGGUCCUUGAUGUGUAGGAUAGGUGGGAGGCUUUGAAGUGUGGACGCCAGUCUGCAUGGAGCCAUCCUUGAAAUACCACCCUUUAAUGGCUGGUGUUCUAACGUGGGCCCCUAAUCGGGGUUGCGGACAGUGUCUGGUGGGUAGUUUGACUGGGGCGGUCUCCUCCUAAAGAGUAACGGAGGAGCACGAAGGUCAGCUAAUCCUGGUCGGACAUCAGGAGGUUAGUGCAAUGGCAUAAGCUGGCUUGACUGCGAGCGUGACGGCGCGAGCAGGUGCGAAAGCAGGUCAUAGUGAUCCGGUGGUUCUGAAUGGAAGGGCCAUCGCUCAACGGAUAAAAGGUACUCCGGGGAUAACAGGCUGAUACCGCCCAAGAGUUCAUAUCGACGGCGGUGUUUGGCACCUCGAUGUCGGCUCAUCACAUCCUGGGGCUGAAGUAGGUCCCAAGGGUAUGGCUGUUCGCCAUUUAAAGUGGUACGCGAGCUGGGUUUAGAACGUCGUGAGACAGUUCGGUCCCUAUCUGCCGUGGGCGCUGGAGAAUUGAGGGGGGCUGCUCCUAGUACGAGAGGACCGGAGUGGACGCAUCACUGGUGUUCGGGUUGUCAUGCCAAUGGCAUUGCCCGGUAGCUAAAUGCGGAAGAGAUAAGUGCUGAAAGCAUCUAAGCACGAAACUUGCCCCGAGAUGAGUUCUCCCUGACCCUUUAAGGGUCCUGAAGGAACGUUGAAGACGACGACGUUGAUAGGCCGGGUGUGUAAGCGCAGCGAUGCGUUGAGCUAACCGGUACUAAUGAACCGUGAGGCUUAACCUU